rnacentral:rRNA from 1 species
GCUAAAUAGCUAGCCUAACAACCCAAACAAGCACACAACCAUACAUACCAACACACCCCAAACUCACCCACUAAACCAUUUUCCCCUUCUAGUAUAGGAGACAGAAAAAAGCACGAACUAGAGCAAUAGAAAAAGUACCGCAAGGGAAAGCUGAAAAAGAAAUGAAAAAACCCGUAAAAGCGCAAAAAAGCAGAGACACAACCUCGUACCUUUUGCAUCAUGAUUUAGCUAGAACUCCCAGGCAAAGAGACCUAUAGUCUGACCCCCCGAAACUAAACGAGCUACUUCGAGACAGCCAGCCAAGGGCCAACCCGUCUCUGUGGCAAAAGAGUGGGAAGAUCUCCAAGUAGAGGCGACAAACCUAACGAGUUUAGUGAUAGCUGGUUGCUUAGGAAAUGAAUAUAAGUUCAGCCUCGAAGCCUGCCUAAACCAAACACCAACAACACCAAAGACCAAAACAACAGCUCCGAGAGUUAGUCAUGGGGGGUACAGCCCCCCUGAAAAAGAACACAACCUUGCACAGGAGGAUAAGGAUCACAAUAACAAAGACACCCAGUCGCAGUGGGCCUAAAAGCAGCCACCAACAUAGAAAGCGUCAAAGCUCAAACCAACAAACAAGUCCAUUAUCACGAUAAAACAUCCCACUCCCCUAAUAAUACUAAGCUAUUCUAUGCCAACAUAGAAGAAAUUAUGCUAAAACCAGUAAUAAGAAGACACGACCUUCUCCAGGCACAUGUGCACGUUAGAUCGAACCACUCACUAACAAACCAACGGACCCAAGCCAAGAGGGAAAUGCAGCAAACACUAAAACCAAGAAACAACUGCAACAUACACCGUUAACCCAACACAGGAGUGCCAACCACAAAGGAAAGACUAAAAGAGACGGAAGGAACUCGGCAAACAUGAGCCUCGCCUGUUUACCAAAAACAUCGCCUCUUGCAAACACACAAAGUAUAAGAGGUCCCGCCUGCCCCGUGACCAAAAGUUCAACGGCCGCGGUAUUCUGACCGUGCGAAGGUAGCGUAAUCACCUGUCUUUUAAAUGAAGACCUGUAUGAAAGGCACCACGAGGGCUCAACUGUCUCCCGCCUCCAGUCAAUGAAACUGAUCUGUCCGUGCAGAAGCGGACAUAACAACAUAAGACGAGAAGACCCUGUGGAGCUUAAGGCACAAGGCCAACCAUGCCAAACAUCCCUCCCAAAGGCAUAAGCACAACAACCACUGGCCACACAUGCCUUCGGUUGGGGCGACCGCGGAGAAAAAUCAAACCUCCAUGUGGACCAAGGAUACAAUCCUCAAAACCAAGAGACACAGCUCUAAGCAGCAGAAAAUCUGACCAAAAGACCCAGGCCAACACGCCUGAUCAACGAACCAAGUUACCCCAGGGAUAACAGCGCAAUCCUCUCCCAGAGUCCAUAUCGACGAAAGGGUUUACGACCUCGAUGUUGGAUCAGGACAUCCUAAUGGUGCAGCCGCUAUUAAGGGUUCGUUUGUUCAACGAUUAAAGUCCUACGUGAUCUGAGUUCAGACCGGAGCAAUCCAGGUCAGUUUCUAUCUAUGCAGCAACUUCCCCCAGUACGAAAGGACCGGGGAAUUGGGGCCCAUACCAAAAGCACGCCCUACCCCAACUCGAUGAAAACAACUAAAACGAAGAAAGGGGCACAACCACACCCAGCCGCAGAUAAUGGCAC